rnacentral:rRNA from 1 species
AACGAACGCUGGCGGCAGGCCUAACACAUGCAAGUCGAGCGCCCUUUCGGGGGAGCGGCGUGCUGGUGAGUAACGCGUGGGUAGAUGCCCUUCUCUACGCAAGAGCCUCGGGAAACUGAGAGUGAUACCGAAUACGCCCUGAGGGGGGAUGAUAUAUCGGGGAAGGAUUAGUCCGCGGUGGAUUAUGUAGGAGGUGGGGUAAUGGCCUACCAAGCCGAAGAUCCAUAGCUGGGGUGAGAAGAUGAGCAGCCACACUGCGACUGAGACACGUCGCAGACCUCUACGGAAGGAAGCAGUGGGGAAUGUUAGACAAUGGGGGCAACACUGAUGUAGCCAGGCCGCGUGAGUCAUGAAGGCGUUAGGAUUGUAAAGCUCUUUCAGCUGGGAAGAUUAUGACGGUACCAGCAGAAGAAGCCCCGGCUAACUCCGUG